rnacentral:rRNA from 1 species
AUUGAACGCUGGCGGCAUGCCUUACACAUGCAAGUCGAACGCGAAAGGGGGGCAACCCCCGAGUAGAGUGGCGAACGGGUGAGUAAUACAUCGGAACGUAUCCAGUAGCGGGGGAUAACCUCUCGAAAGAGAGGCUAAUACCGCAUACGACCUACGGGUGAAAGAGGGGGAUCGCAAGACCUCUCACUAUUGGAGCGGCCGAUGUCGGAUUAGCUAGUUGGCGGGGUAACGGCCCACCAAGGCUACGAAUCCGUAGCUGGUCUGAGAGGACGACCAGCCACACUGGAACCUGAGACACGGUCCAGACUCCUACGGGAGGCAGCAGUGGGGAAUUUUGGACAAUGGGCGCAAGCCUGAUCCAGCCAUGCCGCGUGAGUGAAGAAGGCCU